rnacentral:lncRNA from 1 species
UGAAUUUACCAUUUAUCCAUCCUCAAAAAAUAUAAAAAUCUCAAGCAAGGGUCAAAUUCUGUUACUAGCCUGGUCUAGAUCUUCAUUCUCAACCUGACCUUUUCAAAGACUGUCCAAGGACUUAGAACAUAAACUCUUAAAUAAGUUUAGUUUGUUUAUCUUAUGCGCUGAUGUGCUAUGCCUAGCUGUCUGCUAGAAAUGGGGGAAAUUGUAAAAAUCAUGUCCUG